rnacentral:rRNA from 1 species
GAUGGUUCAUUCAAAUUUCUGCCCUAUCAAGUUUCGAUGGUAGGAUAGAGGCCUACCAUGCUGUUUUUACGGGUAACGGCGAAUUAGGGUUCGAUUCCGGAGAGGGAGCCUGAGAAACGGCUACACAUCUAAGGAAGGCAGCAGGCGCGCAAAUUACCCAAUCCUGAUUCAGGGGGGUAGUGACAAUAAAUACUGAUACAGGGCUCUUUUGGGUCUUGUAAUUGGAAUGAGUACAAUUUAAACCCCUUAACGAGGAACAAUUGGAGGGCAAGUCUGGUGCCAGCAGCCGCGGUAAUUCCAGCUCCAAUAGCGUAUAUUAAAGUUGUUGCAGUUAAAAAGCUCGUAGUUGAACUUCGAACCUGGUUGGGUGGUCUGCCUUCACGGUACGUACUGCUCGGCCGGGUUCUACCUCUUGGUGAGCCGGCAUGCCCUUCACUGGGUGUGUCGGGGAACCAAGACUUUUACCUUGAGAAAAUUAGAGUGUUCAAAGCAGGCCUUUGCCCGAAUACAUUAGCAUGGCAUAAUUAAA